ensembl:lncRNA
AGCAGGGGUGGACAGCUAGAAGUCCUUCUUGAUGCCCUUCCUUGUAGUCAAGAUGCCUUCUGAAACUUCCAGCUCCCAGCCAAGUGCUUCUUAUAAUUUGACUCCAGGAGGACCAGGAACGUUGACCACAUGGUCAUGAUACGUCUCCUGAAUUGAGACUAUGCUGGGCUCAUAGCAGGCUCUCAAUGGAUCCUUUACCUAUUUGUGUGGAAUUCUUGAAAUGACAACAUUGUAGAGAUCGAGUACAGCUUGGCAGUUGCCAGAGAUGGAAGAUGGAAGCAGAUAUAGCUGGAGAGGAGCAGUGGGAGGAAAACUCAUGAACAACAGAAAAAGAGAGGAACUCCAUGACAAACGGUUUGUGUUUUGAUUUGAAGAUCCACAAGUUGCAAGCAUCAUCCACAUUCAAUCCCUUUGGCUUUAAUUUAAUUGUCUAACCACAUCUAGCUUUAGGGUGGUUGAGAAAUGUCUGUAAGUUGGCAGCCAAGUGUGACCUUAAAUGUUAUUACUACAAAUGAAGGAAUGAAUUUUAGGGAGUAAUUAGUAGUCUCUACUAUACUUCUAUAACAGAAUAAUUGGUCUACUUUUUCUCCCAUCCUGUUCCAACCUACUGUGAGGAUUUUGUUGUAAUAUGCUAGGAAAUGCAGGAGAUGUAAAGACAUAUAACUUGAGGGUUGUUAAGUUUAGAAGGAUAGUUAUCAUCAUAUCCAGUAAUUAUCAUCCAUAUCUGUAGUCAUUCUACUGAUGAAGGUAUAUUGCAG